CACACUGUUUGCAUGGACUCGCAGUGUGCCAUUGAGGCUCUGCCGGGCCAGACAAGGCCGCACUACCAGGCACAUCCAUGCUGCCUCCAGCCUACAGGUGGAAGAAACCCUGUGAAGGUGCAUAACAGCAGGGAUAAGGACAUACUGUCCCCCACCUCUGCUACCUCCAUUACAAGUUAGAAGGGGACUUGUAGCUUUGUUCAGAUCCUGGUGUUCCACAAGGGUAGCAGCAGAAAAACCCCACGCUGCCCAGGCUAUCCUCAAGGAAGGCCAGAACUUCUCAGGAGACCACACAAGCACUAAAGUGGAUCUGGAGGAUUCAUAUAACACCAGUGGUCAGCUAUACCUGACAGAAGAAGAGACGGUGGAAGGCGAGAUUCAGCCCCAUCUGUUCCCCACACACUCCAAGUAUAACAAAUGCUGUCACUUGGUGACAUGGACAUGGAUGGGGAAGGAUCAGCAUACUUGUCUUACCUCCGUAACUUACAUAAUAAAAGAGUUUGCUUAUAUUACACUGUCUGCAGAAAAAAUUGCUAUGAAAAAUGUGAAGUAAAUGAGGUAGAAACAAUGUGUUGGAGCCAACUGUUUAAUCAACUAAAGUUACAGUCCUAAAAUGGUCCCCAGACACCAGAAACAGAGCGUGGUUCUCAAAAGUGCUGAACACUGACUGCAUUUCAGCUCAUGCUUCCCCACCCAGAACACUUAAGGAUUAUUAAAUUACCCGGAUCCUUUUAUUCUGGGCAAAGAAAAAAAAAAAAAAAGUGGUAAAAAUAGAGAAUAAAAUCAGUAAUUUUCAUCUGUUUGUGUAUCUUGCCUUUAGCUCCUUCCUUUUAAGGCUGCAGAGGGAAAGAAGUUUAAGUCCCUAUGGUACAUUGAUGCUUUAUAAGUUAUUCCAGCCUGACUGAUCUCAACCUCAGGAAUUACACAUGCAGAUGCUGCCAGAGUGGAGAAGACACGCAUGAAAGAAGAAACCAUUUGUAGUCGCGAUUCAGGUACCUUGUGGGUUGCAACACCUUUUCUUCAAGUGCCAUCCAUCACUCACAGAUGUUCAGCACAGAGCCAUGCUACCUCCUUGCCAAAGGAGCAUCUGAUUUCCACUUCUGCUCACAGCUGGAAACAAGCCCCCUUUCUUCCCAUUAUUGAAUGCAGGAAGAAAUCACUUUGCACUUGC
rnacentral:lncRNA from 1 species